CCUGAUGCAUGGCUAGUCCAGCUUUCUCUGGAAAUGUUCCAGCCCAGUGCACACAUCUUCACAAUGAAUCUAAUUACUGCAAAAUAAAAGCCAAGAUCUCGCAGCGGACAGUAGAAUAUGGCAGUUUAAACUUCAGAUCAUUGUGUCAACCGUCUCGUGCAAACCACAAAACCAGGCAGUUUAAUCAAGAUCCACCUAAGAAUGAAAAAUACUAUAAGAUACAAUUUCACAUUACAUCUAGAAAAGGAUAGCUAUAUUUAACUUGAUCUAGUAGAAGAUGUACAACUAUCAUACCCAUAUAAUGUAGAUUAACAAACUGAUUCAAGAUAAAUACUAUUAAGCCAAUCCUACACCCAUACUACUUGUAUACAUAAAAUUGGGUGGAUCUAGAAUUUUAGAUCUAGAUAGACUAGAUUCUUAUUAAAAUUCUAGAUCUUUUCUAUUAAGUAAUAAAAAUCUUUAAAAUGUAUUUUAAUAUGGAUGAAGUUUAACAGAAAUGAUUGGAAAAUAGUCGAUGCCAACGCAGAGGCUCUUGUUCUCGUAUGAGCCAUAGUUGUCUAUUGACUGAAGGUGGUGGAGAUAAUUCAACAAGAUGAUUUACAAUGUAAUUCAAGAGAUCUGUCUAGUCUGUUGGACUGUUAAGGCACCACACAAGGUUUGUCGACCAUUCUUUUCCUCACCGUCUUUUGAAUGACUAAUUCCUGAGAA